rnacentral:rRNA from 2 species
GUCGAGCGGACUUGCUGGAGCUUGCUCCAACAGGUUAGCGGCGGACGGGUGAGUAACACGUGGGCAACCUGCCUGUAAGACUGGGAUAACUCCGGGAAACCGGAGCUAAUACCGGAUAGUAUCUUGAACCGCAUGGUUCAAGUUGGAAAGACGGUUUCGGCUGUCACUUACAGAUGGGCCCGCGGCGCAUUAGCUAGUUGGUGAGGUAAUGGCUCACCAAGGCAACGAUGCGUAGCCGACCUGAGAGGGUGAUCGGCCACACUGGGACUGAGACACGGCCCAGACUCCUACGGGAGGCAGCAGUAGGGAAUCUUCCGCAAUGGACGAAAGUCUGACGGAGCAACGCCGCGUGAGUGAUGAAGGUUUUCGGAUCGUAAAACUCUGUUGUUAGGGAAGAACAAGUGCGAGAGUAACUGCUCGCACCUUGACGGUACCUAACCAGAAAGCCACGGCUAACUACGUGCCAGCAGCCGCGGUAAUACGUAGGUGGCAAGCGUUGUCCGGAAUUAUUGGGCGUAAAGCGCGCGCAGGCGGUUUCUUAAGUCUGAUGUGAAAGCCCCCGGCUCAACCGGGGAGGGUCAUUGGAAACUGGGAAACUUGAGUGCAGAAGAGGAGAGUGGAAUUCCACGUGUAGCGGUGAAAUGCGUAGAGAUGUGGAGGAACACCAGUGGCGAAGGCGACUCUCUGGUCUGUAACUGACGCUGAGGCGCGAAAGCGUGGGGAGCAAACAGGAUUAGAUACCCUGGUAGUCCACGCCGUAAACGAUGAGUGCUAAGUGUUAGAGGGUUUCCGCCCUUUAGUGCUGCAGCUAACGCAUUAAGCACUCCGCCUGGGGAGUACGGUCGCAAGACUGAAACUCAAAGGAAUUGACGGGGGCCCGCACAAGCGGAGGAGCAUGUGGUUUAAUUCGAAGC